rnacentral:rRNA from 1 species
AAGUCGUAACAAGGUUUCCAAAGUUGGAACAUACUAAAUGUAUGCCUACCGUGAAGCCUUGAAUCUUAGUCCAUCUUCGACGGAGGUAGUAAAAAGGCAUAUCUGAUGCCUAUUUUCCGCUGCCUCUACCUCGUAUGUAUGGGCGACAUCUCUAGAUUGCUUGAAUAUCCCUUUGGAUUACAUGCAGCUGCUAGCGCAGUUCACAGAUCAAAUAGAGGUGGUCCCUUAAGUUCCGCGUUCCAUCACUAUAAAUGUGAUAUGAUGUAGGACUAUAGAAGAUUUAGAUAUGACCAGCCUACAUCUGAAAAGUUGUAGAGUUAAAAGUGUUCCGUAGGUGAACCUGCGGAAGGAUCAUUACAGAGAACAUGCCCUCCGGGGUAGAUCACCCACCCUAUGUUUACUUUACCAUUGUUGCUUUGGCGGGUCCGUCUCGCGACCACCGGCUUCGGCUGGUCAGCGCCCGCCGGAGGACCUAAACUCUUUAAUUUUUGUCGUCUGAGUACUAUAAAAAAUAUUUAAAACUUUCAACAACGGAUCUCUUGGUUCUGGCAUCGAUGAAGAACGCAGCGAAAUGCGAUAAGUAAUGUGAAUUGCAGAAUUCAGUGAAUCAUCGAAUCUUUGAACGCACAUUGCACCCUCUGGUAUUCCGGAGGGUAUGCCUGUUCGAGCGUCAUUACAACCUUCAAGCUCUGCUUGGCAUUGGAAGCAAUUGCUCUAAUUCUUCUAAAAUUAGUGCGUGCGUCCGGCUUCCAGCAUAGUAAUUCUCUCUCGCUGUGGAUGCCCUGGCGUGUGCCCGCCAAUAAUCACUAUUUUUUCAGGUUGACCUCGGAUCAGGUAGGGAUACCCGCUGAACUUAAGCAUAUCAAUAAGCGGAGGAAAAGAAACCAACAGGGAUUGCCUCAGUAACGGCGAGUGAAGCGGCAACGGCUCAAAUUUGAAAUCUGGCCUUCUGGUCCGAGUUGUAAUUUGUAGAGGAUGCUUCGAACGUGGUCCGGUCUAAGUUCCUUGGAACAGGACGUCACAGAGGGUGAGAAUCCCGUAUGCGACUCGGUGCCUAAGUUCAUGUGAAGCUCCUUCGACGAGUCGAGUUGUUUGGGAAUGCAGCUCCAAAUGGGUGGUAUAUUUCAUCUAAAGCUAAAUAUUGGCCAGAGACCGAUAGCGCACAAGUAGAGUGAUCGAAAGAUGAAAAGCACUUUGGAAAGAGAGUUAAACAGUACAUGAAAUUGUUGAAAGGGAAGCGCUUGCAACCAGACUUGCAUGCAGUUGAUCAUCCGAUGUUCUCACCGGUGCACUCGACUGUAUUCAGGCCAGCAUCGGUUUCAGUGGCUGGAUAAAGGCCUAGGGAAUGUAGCUUCCUUCGGGGAGUGUUAUAGCCCUAGGUGCAAUGCAGCCUACUAGGACCGAGGACCGCGCUUCGGCUAGGAUGCUAGCGUAAUAGUUGUAAUCGACC